ensembl:antisense Gm28800 predicted gene 28800
CGGGACUGGAGAGAGGCAGGCUAUCUUUGAUCAUGAGAUAAGUAAUAGAGAGCUGACUGAGUAAAGCUGGAGACAGAUGGAGGCCAACAGCACCAUGGCGACUGCUAAAGUGGGUGAUGGCCUGUGACUUCAGUAUUCUCUCCACCGCUGUGCAUUUCUGAACAAGGUCAGCCAGCAGGACGCUGAGAACAUACCUGCUCCAGUGGGAGUUUUGCAGUCCAGGCAGCAUUGAGGAGACUCUUCCUGUGACUUUUAGGGGCAUCUCUCAUCCACAGAAAGAGCUCCUGUGCGUCCACACCACAGCGCUGACACACACCAUGUUCUGUUGCAAACACCUGGGCUCUCAGGGACUCAUAUUGCCCAGACUAGCUUUGAACUUCCCAUAUAGCUGAGGACCGCCUUGAAUUCCUGAUGGCCACGCCUCCACCUAAGUGAUAAAAUGACAAAGCCAUACUCCACUGCUGCUCCAUGAAGUUAAUGGCCUGACUGGAGAGGAAGGUGGAACUGCCCUGAGGAGUGGCAUCUCUAAGACAUGGGUGAACGCCAUUCCUACUUAACACAGAGGACUCACUAGAUCCACAGCAGCUUCUCACAUCCAAGCUCUCCUGGUCAAACAGAUGCUAGCGGUCCACAAUCGUGUUGGAAGAAGAAAGCUAUGGAGGCUUUUAUGACGUGCUGUGUACCCAUGUAUGUAGUUAUGUAACUCCAAACCCUGGCCGUGGGAUUCUCCUGUCAGUGAUCAGUUCUCUUGUGACACAGGGCAUUACACUUCUGUUACUGACUCCUCCUUUAUGCAGCACACUCUUAGGUAGUGACCUAGGGAUUUCACAAACUUCUACUAGUGUGCCUCAGUCCCUUGUAGUAUAAAAUGGUAAAGUCUCGUCUCCACUCAGUUCCAGCUGUGAAGAUCUGUCAACAUGCCCCCCCACUUUUAUCUAAUCUACAGGCUCCACAGGUGGGCUGGCAUUCAGGCCUACAAGGGCACUGAGUACCGCCCUGCUUGGUCUCUGGUGGCUCCAUCUCAUUGCGGUUCCAAAAGUGGAUGCUGUGUGAUGAUUUGGUAUCUGUGCAGUCAUUUCCUUCUGACUGAACAUGGUUAUACGGCACACCAUAUAGCCAAUCUCCUUUAGUAAAAACACAAUUGAAGGUAGUUUGGUUAGAAGCUUUUUUUUCUUUUCCUUCCUCUACCCCUCCCUCCCUCCCUCCCUCCCUCUUUUCUUUUGUCCGGUCUUUCUCUUUCACUCAUUCUUUCUCUCUUUUGUCUUUUCUUUUUCUUUUGUUUUCUCUCUCUCUCUCUCUCUCUCUCUCUCUCUCUCUCUCUCUCUCUCUCCUUUCUUCAGUGCUGGAUAUCUAAUUCAGGGCCUUGUGCAUGCUAAGCAGAGCGGUGACACCCUCAGCACCAUAAGUUCUGUUUUAAAAAGCACUCUUUCAGGCUGGCAAGAUGGCUACGUGGGGACAGGAGCCUGCUCCCGAGCGUGCUGAGCCACAGGCUAGAACUAGAGAAUGAAGUCCUAAGAGCUGUCUCCCGACCUCCACACAUGUGCUGUGGCACAAAAAUCUUCCUCAUACUAAGAAAUGUAAUAGUGAAACGAUAUAAAAAGCAUUCUUUCAAUAGAAUAGACAAUGUAAAAUUACAAACAUGAUUUGUACAUCUAAACUAGUAAGAAAUUCAGAAGUGAAUGAACAGAGGCAUUUAAAAUGGCUGCCAACUUUUAUAUCAGUGUAGAUGGUAUAGAAGGCUUCUUAGAGGGCCCACACCAUCACAGCUAUUUUGUAAUAUGGGAGCGGGGCACUAUCUGCCUGUCAAGCUCUUGCUCCCUUAGGAUUGUCCAAGUGAGCUCUUCUUAGCAGCUUCAUGUGUCUUGCUGAGUCAAGAUCAUGCUACAGUAGCCCAGGCUGGCCUCCACCCAGAGUCCCUCCUGCCUCAGCUAUCCUGGUGCUGGGACGAUAGACAUGCACCAUUACACCCUGAUCUGCUGUCCUCGGCUGAAGCCAGAGAACUGCUGAGAACCGGAGUGCUAUUCUUCUCAGCACAGCACCCCGCUUUAGAAAAGACAAUUAAUCUUAAAAAACAUACCUUAUUAAUAUAAAUGUUAGUAUAAAACUGAAUAAUACAUGACUAUUUUAAGUGUCUUCAUUUUAAUACAGAAUGGAGUAAGUGUCAAUAAAUAUAACAAGCUCUCAACAAGAGCUUGUGGGGCCUUCCACACAUUUUCAUCACGCUGAAAGCUCCUCAGACUAAAUAAAGUGAGAACUUUGCUAGCCU